GGGAGAACAAGGUCAGUGAUAUGAGAGAGUAUGAGUGGCAUGGAUGGUUAGGGAAGGAAAUUCAGUGUGAAGAAGCAGCAGAGGGAAUGGAAUGAGUAUGCAAAAGGACUCCUAUAAAUAUAAGAUACUUCUCAUUUGGUUAAGGGUGAGGUAUACUGAUACCUAUCUUUGGAACAUAUAGAAAUCUACCCUUGCAACAACAGAAAUCCUGGAGGCUGGAUCAACCUACUCUGCUACUCGAAGAAGACUGGUUCUAAAUGAGUGCUGCCUAGAAUAUUCCCAGCUGUGAUCAUGGACUGCAAACUCAAAUUGACAGGGACUCAGAGGUUACACAGGUUCCUAUGGUAAACAUGAAUAGAUAUGGGCCCUAGGUCAGAUCUAUGGAAUUAACAAUUAAUGCCACCAAGUUACAGACACUACUAUGAUGCCAUUUGGACUUCUCUGAGCAGAUGACCUCAUCUCUCCAGAGGUCUAUUCCACUAGGGAAAGAUGGAAACAGGCUGGAACUGUGAAUCAACCUACCAAUGUCCAUAUCCAGCAUAGAAGCAAUUACAGAAGUCAGACCUUCUAUCUUCUGUAUCCCACAAAGAUUUUUGGCCCAUAUUCCCAGAGGGAUAAAGAAUAGAGAAUCUUAUAAUGAGGAAGAUGCAAUACAAAACUCUGGU